rnacentral:lncRNA from 1 species
GCUCAGACUAUCUAUACUCUGCUGUUAAGCCUUUCCUUGAUGCUUUUUCACUACUUCAGAACUUAAUAAUACACUAUUUACAUAUUGUUUGUUAGUUAAAUACUCAUGACUUCAACAAGUUUCAAGCAGGUGACUAUUCCCAUUCAUCUCCAUCAUCUUUAGCAUGAUGCCAGGCAUAAUGUAGUUCCUCAGCAAAUACUCAGCAAAUCACUCCUUGCGUCUCCUGGGUUUUAGCCCAGUGACAGGAACUGCCUCCCUGCAAAGUAGCAAGAAUAUGAGGAUAGCUGUCUUUAUGGCCAAGAAAUUCCAGACUUCAACUGUCUAUUCAGUUUCCUUCGGAUUACCUUAUACUCAGUAGAUUUGAAGCUGAAAGCAAGUGAUGAAAAUGUCUGUGAAAAAGUUGAGGAAAAAUCAUGAAAAACACGGCUAAAAAGAGAUGGAUUGCUGAUAUAAAGCACUAGUUAUAGUGACCUGGGUGCACUUUCCGUACCUUCUUCCUAUUAUUUUACAGCAUCUCAGAAGCUUCAGGUUAGGUCGAAGUACCAUUAUGUCCGUUUGUCUUCUUUUAGUCUUAGUAUCAGGCAGAGGCCCAAACUAUCAGACAGGAAAGGAGGCAUUUAAUACCUUACAAUUAUGUUGCUGUGGCAACUAUCCAGGUUUGCCUCCCACUCAGU